rnacentral:rRNA from 1 species
ACAUCCAGAGAAUUUAGCAGAGAUGCUUUAGUGCCUUCGGGAACUCUGAGACAGGUGCUGCAUGGCUGUCGUCAGCUCGUGUUGUGAAAUGUUGGGUUAAGUCCCCGNAACGAGCGCAACCCUUAUCCUUUGUUGCCAGCACGUAAUGGUGGGAACUCAAAGGAGACUGCCGGUGAUAAACCGGAGGAAGGUGGGGAUGACGUCAAGUCAUCAUGGCCCUUACGAGUAGGGCUACACACGUGCUACAAUGGCGCAUACAAAGAGAAGCGACCUCGCGAGAGCAAGCGGACCUCAUAAAGUGCGUCGUAGUCCGGAUUGGAGUCUGCAACUCGACUCCAUGAAGUCGGAAUCGCUAGUAAUCGUAAAUCAGAAUGUUACGGUGAAUACGUUCCCGGGCCUUGUACACACCGCCCGUCACACCAUGGGAGUGGGUUGCAAAAGAAGUAGAUAGCUUAACCUUCGGGAGGGCGUUUACCACUUUGUGAUUCAUGACUGGGGUGAAGUCGUAACAAGGUAAGCGUAGUGCU